rnacentral:snRNA from 1 species
AUUACUUCUUGGCCUUUUGGCUAAGAUCCAGUAUAGUGUCUGCUCUUAUCAGUUUAAUAGCUGAUACUCCUGAUGGAGCACUCCAU